AGAGUUUGAUCAUGGCUCAGAUUGAACGCUGGCGGCAGGCCUAACACAUGCAAGUCGAGCGGUAGCACAGAGAGCUUGCUCUCGGGUGACGAGCGGCGGACGGGUGAGUAAUGUCUGGGAAACUGCCUGAUGGAGGGGAUAACUACUGGAAACGGUAGCUAAUACCGCAUAAUGUCGCAAGACCAAAGUGGGGGACCUUCGGGCCUCAUGCCAUCAGAUGUGCCCAGAUGGGAUUAGCUAGUAGGUGGGGUAACGGCUCACCUAGGCGACGAUCCCUAGCUGGUCUGAGAGGAUGACCAGCCACACUGGAACUGAGACACGGUCCAGACUCCUACGGGAGGCAGCAGUGGGGAAUAUUGCACAAUGGGCGCAAGCCUGAUGCAGCCAUGCCGCGUGUGUGAAGAAGGCCUUCGGGUUGUAAAGCACUUUCAGCGGGGAGGAAGGCGUUAAGGUUAAUAACCUUGGCGAUUGACGUUACCCGCAGAAGAAGCACCGGCUAACUCCGUGCCAGCAGCCGCGGUAAUACGGAGGGUGCAAGCGUUAAUCGGAAUUACUGGGCGUAAAGCGCACGCAGGCGGUCUGUCAAGUCGGAUGUGAAAUCCCCGGGCUCAACCUGGGAACUGCAUUCGAAACUGGCAGGCUAGAGUCUUGUAGAGGGGGGUAGAAUUCCAGGUGUAGCGGUGAAAUGCGUAGAGAUCUGGAGGAAUACCGGUGGCGAAGGCGGCCCCCUGGACAAAGACUGACGCUCAGGUGCGAAAGCGUGGGGAGCAAACAGGAUUAGAUACCCUGGUAGUCCACGCCGUAAACGAUGUCGAUUUGGAGGUUGUGCCCUUGAGGCGUGGCUUCCGGAGCUAACGCGUUAAAUCGACCGCCUGGGGAGUACGGCCGCAAGGUUAAAACUCAAAUGAAUUGACGGGGGCCCGCACAAGCGGUGGAGCAUGUGGUUUAAUUCGAUGCAACGCGAAGAACCUUACCUGGUCUUGACAUCCACAGAACUUUCCAGAGAUGGAUUGGUGCCUUCGGGAACUGUGAGACAGGUGCUGCAUGGCUGUCGUCAGCUCGUGUUGUGAAAUGUUGGGUUAAGUCCCGCAACGAGCGCAACCCUUAUCCUUUGUUGCCAGCGGUUAGGCCGGGAACUCAAGGAGACUGCCAGUGAUAAACUGGAGGAAGGUGGGGAUGACGUCAAGUCAUCAUGGCCCUUACGACCAGGGCUACACACGUGCUACAAUGGCAUAUACAAAGAGAAGCGACCUCGCGAGAGCAAGCGGACCUCAUAAAGUAUGUCGUAGUCCGGAUUGGAGUCUGCAACUCGACUCCAUGAAGUCGGAAUCGCUAGUAAUCGUAGAUCAGAAUGCUACGGUGAAUACGUUCCCGGGCCUUGUACACACCGCCCGUCACACCAUGGGAGUGGGUUGCAAAAGAAGUAGGUAGCUUAACCUUCGGGAGGGCGCUUACCACUUUGUGAUUCAUGACUGGGGUGAAGUCGUAACAAGGUAACCGUAGGGGAACCUGCGGUUGGAUCACCU
rnacentral:rRNA from 1 species